rnacentral:rRNA from 1 species
UACGAAGGGGGCUAGCGUUGCUCGGAAUCACUGGGCGUAAAGCGCACGUAGGCGGUGCUCUAAGUCUGUCGUGAAAUCUCCCGGCUCAACUGGGAGGGUGCGGCGGAAACUGGAGUGCUCGAGUGUGGGAGAGGUAAGCGGAAUUCCUGGUGUAGCGGUGAAAUGCGUAGAUAUCAGGAGGAACACCUGUGGUGUAGACAGCUUACUGGACCACGACUGACGCUGAGGCACGAAAGCGUGGGUAGCAAACAGG